AGCGAACGCUGGCGGCAGGCCUAACACAUGCAAGUCGAACGGAUCCUUCGGGAUUAGUGGCGGACGGGCGAGUAACACGUGGGAACGUGCCCUUUGGUUCGGAACAACUCAGGGAAACUUGAGCUAAUACCGGAUGUGCCCUUCGGGGGAAAGAUUUUUCGCCACUGGAGCGGCCCGCGUCUGAUUAGCUAGUUGGUGAGGUAAAGGCUCACCAAGGCGACGAUCAGUAGCUGGUCUGAGAGGAUGAUCAGCCACAUUGGGACUGAGACACGGCCCAAACUCCUACGGGAGGCAGCAGUGGGGAAUCUUGCGCAAUGGGCGAAAGCCUGACGCAGCCAUGCCGCGUGAAUGAUGAAGGUCUUAGGAUUGUAAAAUUCUUUCACCGGGGACGAUAAUGACGGUACCCGGAGAAGAAGCCCCGGCUAACUUCGUGCCAGCAGCCGCGGUAA
rnacentral:rRNA from 1 species